GGUUUAGUUAAUAAUUGCCAGUGCGGGUGUUCUCUUCCUCUGCCUCUCUCCUCCCUCCCCUUAAUUGGUUGAGUAUUAAUAAACUCAUGGUUUGUUUCAAGGGCACGGCUAGUUUUUAAUGGUCUUAUAGGAAUCUCAGGAAGAAAGCGAAAGAAUUAGCAUAAUAAAUAAUUAUUGCUUGCAGCAUUUUUUUGUUGUUAAGAUAAUAAAAUGUUAAAAAGCAAGCCACUUGAGCAGAAAGUAAUUGCCCUGACAAGGCACACAGGCAGUGUUCAUAAUACAGGGGCCCUCCCCUCCUGUGCUGGCUAGAUCUGCACCCCACAUACACACUACCCCAUUAUGGAAAUACACUUUUUUUCUAUCAACAGUGUAGAACAAAACUCCAGGCUUCUAAUUAAUCUUAGCUGACGUUUGAUUUCAUUCCCAAGCUCAAGGCAAGGGGCUGUAUGGUGCCCGCCCCCCUCCCUGAGCACAUGGCCACAGGCAAAUCUCUCCAUUAAUGUCGCUUUGCAUCUGUGUGUCUCGUGGCGGCUGCCACAUGCCAGUCAUUAGUGUGUGAGUGAUUACACAUGUCCACUUUCCACCCGCUGCUUCCCUGCUUGAGAAGACAGCACAGGAGGGAUUUUACUUUGUAAGCCUUUAACCUUGAACCUCUGGAUUAAUGGCAUAAAGAGAACGCUUUGCAGAUUUUCAACUUGUCUUUCCCUACCUGUCUCUUACCUAUUGUGGAUCUCAGUGCCUUACCGAGGAAAGCCAUUUAGUCACCAUUUGUGAAUAACGGUGUGUCCAGUAAGAAGCAGAGAACGAAGGAGCCCCAAGAAGGAUUAUUAGGAAGGAAGUGAUUGAGUUGAGAUUUGAACCUAGAACUUCUUAACAAUUUUUUUUCCUCUAGAUUUAAGAGAAGUCUUUGAAAAUAGAAUUAAGACACUUUGUAUCUAGUGCCUUGGCCUCUACUCCAGUUCUAAAUCUGGAAAUUUUAGGGGCAUCCAUUGUAGAUAAUUUUAUUGUGCUGGGAGGAUCAGGGUGUGUGUAUGCUUAAAUUUACAAAGUGAAUAUUGAUAUCAGCUCUGCUUAGCCUCAGGGGAGUGAUAGGGAAUAGAAAAAGCACACGCAUGUAGAUGCCAGUUUACAGGGCUGCAGACAUGUGGGUAAGAGCGUGUGCUGUGUGUGAACCUGAGUUCAGAUCUUCAGAUCCCAUGUAAAGAGCUGGGCGUGGUACACAUGUGCUGUAACCACCAGACCUCCUGACCACUAGCCUAGCUCCAGCUAGGCUCUGUGAGAAAACCCCGUCUGAAAUGAGUAAAGCAGAAAGUGAUAGGGUACCUGAUGAGAUUCUGUGCUUCUCUGGCUUCUGAACUUGUACCGCCACCCCCACCCCCUGCACCAUCUUCCCCAUGCUCCACCCCCCCAGCCCUCUCUGCAGACUUCUAAUCUAGAGACGCAGGAAGUCGUGUGAGAGAAGACAUUCUUCUCAUCACUCAUAAGUCCACACAGGUAUGGCAGCAAACAAUGCUCUCUUGCUCUUGCUUCUGUGGCAGCGUGACAGCCUUUUUAUUUCUUCUAAAUUGAAUUGAAAGCAAUUCUAUCAGAGCUGGAGAUGUUUCAUGGCUUGCUUUCACUCAGGGACCAGAACCUGUGUACAAAACAAGAUUAAUGAAACAUAACCUCUCUUCAGUGGCCAUCCCCUAAGUCCACUCCUCCACCCUGGAUCUUCAUAGAUCACAGCAGCUCUUGCAGUUGGUGAGUUACUAGUAAAUAUGGGCUAUGUGUAAGUGCCAUGAUAUUGACUUCAUUCACUCAUGGCCCGUUCACUGAUGUCUACCAGACCUUUGUCCAAGGGUGCAGACAGAGCCUGGUAUAGAUCCAGAGUCAUCUUCUGUAGAUGAUAACUGGGGUGAUUUUUACCCAGUGUGGAGAAGGUAUGGUUCAGGGAGUCACUAUACCUGUCAAACCUCAGAAAAGAAUUUCCCUAUGUGCUUCAGUGCGGGAACUGACCCCUCAGUGCCCUCUAGGCAAUGGGACUGGUUGGCCCUGGGAACAAAUGAAUUUUUAACUGUCUUUGACAUUAGGUAUUACACGAUGCCCUUCAGGAAGUUGUCUUCUCAUAGUACAAUAUUUAGCCACUAAUUUUAGGGGGGGGGUGAUCGUUAGACAAAGACCACCAGACCUCCUGACCACUAGCCUAGCUCCAGCUAGGCUCUGUGAGAAAACCCCGUCUGAAAUGAGUAAGGCAGAAAGUGAUAGGGUACCUAUUAUGAACAGGGUAUUAUGAUAAUGACAUCCUAGGUGGCGCAGACUGCAGAUGACUGGCAGGUCCCAUGCAUCUUGCAGAGGAGUUCCAGAUGCCUGCAUUAGAAAAACAGUGGGGCCUACAGACUUCACUGGUAAUGAAUCUAUAGCCCCAUCUUAAUCAGUUCACUGACGGUAUUGGUUGAUGAUCUCCUGACUGUUCAUAUAAUCAAUAUCCGGCCUCCCUUUCCAAGCUUUACCUGUUAACUGAAUAUUUGAAUUUGCACACACUUUGUGUGCUAAAGACUGUUGAUUCCUCUCUCACCAAGAUGAUAAGAAAAAUUAACAUUUUUGCACCCCCCCCACACACACCUUUUUUUUUUUUUUGUCCUGAGUAUAAAACUUACUGGGUUCUCAAAUAGUUUUUCGACCUUGAUAAUAGCUUCCACAGUUUAGAGACAGAGAUGGGACGGGUGUGUGUGUGUGGGGGGGGGGGGUACUGCAAAUCCUGCAUGUGAAUACUGGCCAGCCUUUGGGGCCCUUGACCUGUGUUCUCUACAGCACUGAGGCACCUCCCAUCUGAAAGCCUUUGUGCCCUGGACUGCAUCAAUGGGACUUCGUGUUUCUAAACGAUCCUUGAGAGAAAUGGUCAUAUAAUUAGCCUGAGGUUUUAAUAAGCAGCAUUUGGGCUUUGUAAUAGCCGCAUUAUAGCUUUUACUUAACUGAUUGUUUUAGUCCAUAUACGGUAAUUCUCUAGUAGAUAUUGGGAUGGAGAAGUGAGCCAAACAGACCCAGCCUAUGUUUUCAGAGAUUGCUCUCUAUUGCUGAGGGGUGACAUUGUAUCUAGAAAGUAAGGAUGAUGGCUUGGACCUCAUCAGGGAGAACUUCCUGUAAGAAGUCUCCCAUCCUCUUUUUUCUCUUAGGUAAAUAAAUAACAAAUAUCUAUAUGUCUGUCUGUCUGUCUGUAUGUCUGUCUAUCUAUCUAAUCUUGCCUUCUUAUUUAUUAUCUCCUUGUGUUGGCAACUGGACUCAGAGCCUGCCACUGAGUUGUGCCCCCAGCUCUUAACAGAUGAGUUUUGAGCCCAUCAUGCUUCAUACAACUGGUAGAUUGUGUCAAAGAAGAUAUCACAGAAAAGGCUCCCCCUACAUGUCUGGGGCAAACUAGGAGAGUGAAUACACACAUUGAAAUGUCGGGUGCAGCUGCUAAGCUUCUGAAAUAUUAAAGAAAUUGUAACAGUGCCUUGAGAGGGAACCAAGCCUACUGGAAUGUAAUGUAGUAUGACCGGAGUCACAUUUGCCUAUACGCUAUCAUAUUCUCUUUCUGUACUUCUAAUUGUUGACAUUUUUCACUAAAUAAAUAUUUCCCCAAUGAGUUUAAGUAGACACACUGAGGCGACCCAACUUAUUAAAACCAACUGACCUGACAAGCAAAAGGUACUAAUUACUAUGUCUCAGUGAAAAAUCUUCCUUGCAGUUGUUGAGAAUAUGAACUACAGUGUCUCUCUUUCCAGUCAAACACUAAUUAUUGUGCCUUUUUUUACUUUCUCCUCCACAAUCAGGUGUGUUAUGCUAGGUGUGGUGGUGCAUAUCUAUAGUCCCAGCGUGUGAGGGGCUGAAGCAGGAGAGUUGCUGUGAGCUUGAGGCCAGCCUUGGCUACACUGUGAGUCUCAGGACAACCAGGACUACAUAGUGAGAGCCUGCCCCUUCCCACUCCUCCAGGAUCACAUGACCACCCCAAUGACAGCACCCCAGUAGAUAUUUUGCACCAUAUAAAUCUUGGGUUUAAUUGAAUUCCACCUGAACUGAAUGAUCUGUGUACAUAUUAGACUACAGGUUAUAGUUGGGAAAUAUCCUUGACUCUUGAAAAUUGUUAGCAAUAAUUACAUUAUGUGAACAACCUUUUAAAAAUGGAUCCAUAGAUUUACCAUGAAUUCAAUUGUUUCAGGAAUAAUUUGGUUGAAAUAUAUCUUUAUUCUAGAAUCCAUUACCUUGUAUUAUGCAAUUUCUUUGUCUAGGAGUCCUGUUUUGAUUAUUUGAGAAAAAGAGAAAGAAAAAAGUUUGUAAGCCUCCAGUUAGUAUUAACACGUGGUUCAAUUAUUUCCUCCCAGCUUAUCCAACAUUUAUGUGUUUUUUAAAACUUAAAGUCAUAACAUUCUGUAUCUUUCUGUCAGCUUAACCUUAAAAUUAUGAUGCCUUGUUAUGUAACUCAUAGACUACACUUUUGGCUGUCCUGGAAGCCUCCAAGAGCACAGGCCCCGGCUGCAGAAGUCUGCUUUGCUUUUGUGGUGGCUGCUAUGUUGGGUGCUGGUUUGUUCUAUCACUGCAGUCUUUAACAGUGUGCCAGCUUGUUUGCACAGUUGUGAGCUGAUAUGAUCCAGAUCACCAUUAAUAUCUUACAGGCUGAGCAUCCUGUAUUGAGAGCUGUCUGAAAUAGUCCCAAACCUUAGACUCUGAUGUCCAUCAAGAAUGUGGGUUUUUCAGGUUAGGGAUGUAUGGGUGGAACUUAUACAGAUCUCCUCGUCAAAUCAACAACACUCUCGGAUCUGGAGACAGCUUAACCCGAAGCAUUCUAAAAGGGCUCGCCCCCUCCCAGUGAUGUUCUCAUAAAGCCCACCCAAACUGCUAUCAUCUACAGUCAAGUCCUUAAGAUGUACCAGAGAUAUCUUGGUAUCUUCCAAAGUUAGACAAAGAGAUGAUUUAUCUGAAAUUAUAUUGAAGGCUAUAGGGUCUCUGCCUUUCACCUUUGUGUCUUGACUAGUCUUGUUUCUUCUACUGAGGUUUUCAUCUUAUUGUUUGUCAGAAUGUCAGCAAGCCAUUCCUUUCUUCCAGAAUAGCUUGCUCAUCUUCUGUUUUUCACUGCAUGGCAGUUUCCUGACAUAGAUAGGCUUUCCUGUGAGUGGAAAGUGGAAUGGCUAACUGCUUCUGUGGUCAGAGGUGGAACCCAGAGAGCUGCAGAGAUGGACUGGAAGGAAACUGUUUUUCCCAUCUCCCUAGUGAGGCUGCCCCAUCUUGGACUUAGAUUCUCAGGGCUAAUGAGAGUCUAUCUGUGGGUCCACAGAUGUGUAACUCAAGUAUCCAUGGAUAGCCUGUGCGGCCAAUUUUGUGUCAAAUGUUAGAUUGGACAUACAUAAGCAUGAUACCUAUCUGGAAAGACUUUGGUGCUCAACCACACUAUUUAAAGGAGAAAGCAAGUUUGUAAAGAGAACAUAAAUAUAAAUUAUAGAUGGAAGGUUCUGCUUGGCAGCCAGGCUCAUGGGAUGGUUCCUGGUUGUAUGUUAGAACACCUGUAAAUAAUUCAGUUUCAUGUUAGUGAAUGUGAAGUGCUGAGACCUAGAGCAGCAGCUGUUGAAAAUGUGUCAUACCAACACACGUCUAUAAUCCCAACUCCUGGGAGCCCGUUAACAGGAGGCUUAGAAGUUGGAGGCCAGCCUGUGCUACCAGAUGAAACUAGUUUCAAUAAACACCCACCUUCCCAAAGAACUUAUUUAUUCAAAUGGGGUAUUUUGCAUUUUCAAAAAAUGGCACAUAGAAUACGUCCUUUUGAAAUUAGUGAGAAGCAUUAGGAAUAAUUUUAGAACAGAUUAUUUAAUUAAAAAUAGUCUUUG
rnacentral:lncRNA from 1 species